UCCCUGGUGGCUCAGAUGGUAAAGAAUCUGCCUGCAAUGCAGGAGACCCAGGUUCAAUCCCUGGGUUAGGAA
rnacentral:tRNA from 1 species